rnacentral:rRNA from 1 species
GGGUCAGUAGGUUGGUCGUGCCACCGGUACGUACUGGUCUCACUGAUUCCUCCUUCCUGAAGAACCGUAAUGCCAUUAAUUUGGUGUUGCGGGGAAACAGGACUGUUACUUUGAAAAAAUUAGAGUGUUUAAAGCAAGCUAACGCUUGAAUACAUUAGCAUGGAAUAAUGAAAUAGGACGAUCGAUCCUAUUUUGUUGGUUUGUAGGAUUGACGUA